GGCUUUGCUUCGUUACCCGUAUGUUCGGCAGCCGACCUCUGUGAAGUGGGGACGGGUGUCAUGGGCAAGACUCCGUUAACGUAUUUUAAAGUGUUGGUCUCAGUUUUUUGACCCUUUCGUUAUUUGGAAGCUAUCCCGUGAGCAGAAGGGACAAAAAACAACUUUCCUACACUGGGCUUGCUUUUGUGGUUUGGAAGUUAAUCUUAGCUCGGCGACACCAACCGCGGAAGAAGCAAGGAGAUGUCCUAUUACUCUUCAUCCCGGAGUUCAUCCCGGGCCACUGACUGUAAGGUCUACGUAGGUGACUUGGGCAACGGUGCCGCCAAAGGAGAAUUGGAGCGGGCCUUUAGCUACUAUGGUCCGCUAAGGACCGUCUGGGUGGCCAGAAACCCGCCAGGUUUUGCCUUUGUCGAGUUUGAAGACCCAAGAGAUGCAGAGGAUGCUGUGAAAGGCAUGGAUGGAAAGCUACUGUGUGGGUCUCGUGUGCGUGUGGAGAUGUCGACAGGCAUGUCCAGGAAGGGCCGCGGACGCCCCAGCCGACGCCAGUUUGACCCGAACGAUCGCUGCUACCAAUGCGGAGAUCGUGGCCAUUACGCAUACGACUGCUAUCGUUUCAGCAAGCGAGGAGGCCGUCGCAGCAGGUCUCGGACCCGCUCUCGGUCACGUUCCAGGUCUCGAUCCCGUGGCCGUCGCUACCGAUCCCGUUCUCAUUCCCGCAGCCGUAGCCGCAGCAGGAGCCGUCGCCGCUCUCCAUCCUACUCCAGGCGCAGGAGCAGGUCUGGCUCUCCAGCCCGUUCCAAGUCUAGGACUCCAAUGAGAAGUCGCUCUAGGUCUCGAUCUCGGUCCAGGUCUGCACCAAGAGGGCGUUCCGCCUCCCGUUCCCGCUCCCGAUCCCCGUCGACCAAUCACAAGAGGAACAGUGAGUGCUGGGAGCUGCGCACUGCGCUGACACUACAGCUGAUCCCAGGCCCAAGGUCUGCCAGCUGGCGGUGUUUACGUCCUGCGGGAGGGUGACUAAGCGCUGACCUGAGAUCAGCCUUCGCCUGGCAUUAGACAGCGAGAACCUCCCCCCGCAGAGUGAUUGGGUGACCUUCUGUCCGACCAACGCACACGCUCAGACGAGAUCAGCCCGCGCACUCUUACAGUUGUUCUCCUAGAGUCACCCAAGGCCAGCCAGCCGGCAGAUCUACCAGAGCGCCGACACGAACAAUUCAGAGUUCGACCAUUAAAAUUCCAUUACCUACCUACCUACCUACCAGACACCCCCUACUACGUACCUACCAGAGCUCUGCGGCCUUUGUGUUAGCUUCUGAAAAUGAGAGUGAGCUGACCAGAGAUCGGUCUUCAAGAGCGUAGUCAUCCGUCCUUCAGUGCUUUCAUCCUUCGCUUCUCUGUACUUGUUGUUUCUGCCAGUGUCUCCAAAGUCGUUCCCGCUCAGCAAGUCAAAACCGAAGUCCAACCCCAGCCGCCAACUGAUUGAAGAACAAGACCACUGCAUCCCCUUCCCCGCUGCCUAACCCCGUCCACCCAUACAGCAGCUCUCAACGUUUUCAUACAAUGUUUCAUUUCUUUGAUGUACGAUGUGCAGGUUGGAAGUGUGUCCUCUUGACACUAAACAUCAAUUUUGUAGUAGUUGGACAAAUAUUGUAGUGGACUUUUUUUUUUUUUAAUUCAUUCAAACACUUGGACUUCCUAGUAUAACAUGCUUUGAACUUUUUUAUGAAGCAGAUCCUGGCCUGCAUUGCCUCAUAAUUUUCAUUGUGCUGCACUGCCCCCCCCCCCCCCCCCCCCCCCAAACUACAAAGUUUGUGCAAAAUGGGUCUAAUUCUUUUGGCUUUGCGUUUGUUCCUGUGUAGUAUCUUUAUUUUUAGCUUUGUGUGUGAUUUAUUUCCAUUUUCAGGAAGGGCUGCUUGAACUGUUGGUCCUGCUUCUGUUAAGCCAAUGGCAGUUUUAUUUUUAAAUAAAAAUCACCAACAUGA